UGGCAUGUAUUCUGGAAGGUAUGCAUC
rnacentral:piRNA from 1 species